rnacentral:ncRNA from 1 species
UUCUUCGGGGCAGGGUGAAAUUCCCAAUCGGCGGUAAAGUCCGCGAGCGUAAGCACGAGCCGGUUUGAUUCCGGUACCGACAGUAUAGUCUGGAUGGAAGAAGAA